GCGCCCGUAGCUCAGCUGGAUAGAGCGUUGGCCUCCGGAGCCAAAGGCCGCAGGUUCGAAUCCUGCCGGGCGCG
rnacentral:tRNA from 1 species